rnacentral:rRNA from 1 species
UACGUAGGCAGCAAGCGUUGUUCGGAAUUACUGGGCGUAAAGAGUGUGUAGGCGGUGCUCUAAGUUCGGUGUGAAAUCUCCUGGCUCAACUGGGAGGGUGCGCCGGAAACUGGGGUGCCGGAGCGCGGGAGAGGAAAGCGGAAUUCCUGGUGUAGCGGUGAAAUGCGUAGACAUCAGGAGGAACACCGGCGGUGUAGACGGCUUUCUGGACCGUAGCUGACGCUGAGACACGAAAGCGUGGGUAGCAAACAGG